UAUGUAGAUUCUUCUUGUUACAUAUAUUGAUAAUUAUUUCAAAGGCAAGCCACUAUUCGUAAAACAUGUAUUUUUUGUGCUAUAUAUUGCGACGUGACAAAUUAAAAUCUAAAACUUACCCUGAAGAAUAGCAUUGCUCUUAAUCUGUCUGGUGAAGAAUUGUCCUCGGCCCUAGAGGAAUUUCCUCUUAAUUUUGGAGAUUUUUUGAUACAAGAAAUCUCGGGAAAAUAUUGAACUGCAAAAUUGUAUAAUAUGCCCAUUUUCUUUAUUCUAUUUCAUGUCAAACUUAUUACACUAUGGAAUAAAAACACGAAUUAUAUACGGUUUGCCAGCACCUAAUUAUCUCAAAUGUAUGUAUGCAUAACAAUAUAUUAACACUUGCAUUGCUGUUUCCAAAAAAAAAAAAAAAAAAAAAGGAUAAACCUUUUCCUGAGUUAUUGGGCUGUUGAAUUUUUCUUUCCGAAUAACUAAUGGCUAUCUGCCUAUCUCAAGGAAAAGCUAACAAUUCAAAACGAACGUAUCAAGGCGGUUUUCAAGAUAGGUACGGAGUAUCGAUCAGAGUUAAUGGUGGGAUUUGGGAAGAUUACCUUCCUAAAUUCCAGUACUUGUGAAGGCUUUUAUGGAUUUAUUUACAGAAUAUGCAAUCUAGUACCCCCCGAUGAUCAUAUAUAUAGCUGACGCACUGAUUCAUUCCCCACCCUGCACCAAAUUAAAGAAGAUGGACUCGGUACAAGAGAGCGUCAAAACUUCUGCUGCCGCGCAAACGCAUUUUAUACUCCAAGAAAAUCAAUGCUUUGUGAACAAAAUUCUUUCAAGAAACUCUUCCGUUGGCCGUUCUUCGCAUUUCUAUUACCGGAACCCUGGAGACGUUCCCUUCAACUGGGAAGUGAAGCCUGGCAAGCCAAAAGAAGAUCAUCCACCCCAUGAUCAUGACGAUGCUGAUAUUUUCCCGCCUUCCCUAGGUCCCCCGGGACCUCCUCCGGCGGUGCACAGCGAAGGCAUUUCUCGGCCAUCAGUCGAAAGCUCGCCAAGGUCAAGAAUAUUCUUAUGGAAGAAGUUCAUGAAAAACCUAAUUAAGGCCAAGAAGUUCAAAGCUAUGUCUCGGCUGAAGCGCGAGAAUAGUUUUGUUCGUUCUGAACAUGGCGGCGAUAAAUUUGACGAGUUUGAGCUUACUAACUCGAAGAAUGACUUUGGUGGCUCAAGUAGCUUGCAAUCGUUUUUUUCAUCCAACGGGUCGUCGUCUUGCUCCUCCUCCUCUUCUAAUAGUGUUCUUGCUUUGUACCAGCGUUCAAAACUACAUAAACUUGGCAAGGGUUUUGUUAGAUGGGCAUUCCAAUGGCGAGAACGUUGAGGUUGGGAUUUUGUAUAAAUUAGUACGUACGAUGAAACAUUCGGGUUAAUUUACAAAUAUUUCAUCUUUUUUAUGUUCUCUCUCACAAACUUUUGGAAGUUCACGUGUGUGUCUGCGGAUGCGCACAGGAAGAGGUUCCGAGAGCAGAAGCUUAGAAUGCCGAUGGGUUCUGUUGCAACUAUAUAUUUGUUUCAAUCCACAGAUUCCAAAAUCAAUUUGUCAAAUUCUAAAGUGAAAUGGUAACGACUUUAAAAUUCUUAUCCUUGAAAUUAAAUCUGACGGAAAAUGAUAGAGAUAUAACAUUUGAAUACUCUGAUUUAAAUGGAAGGCUGAUCAGUCUUUUACAUAUACACACGUGUAAAAGGUUCGUGCACCUUAAGAAUGGAUGCCGAACUGAAGAUCCCAGAAGGUAAAAUGCCCAUGUCUGCCUUCAUAAAAAUCUCUUCUGCAUGCACACGGAUCGUUUCUCGCUAGUAUAAAUACAGUCGUAUUAUAUUUUUGGGAACCAAUUCGAAUGUGCCUUCUCUUGCCACCCAGGCCCUCGAUCCCUUCACCCCUUCAAGCUCUCUCUCUCUCUCUCUCUCUCUCUCUCUCUCUCUCUCUCUCUCUGUGGCGUCCUUGUCUUUUCGCUUGUGUAAAUUAAAAAUGUCCGUUUGGGAGUAAUGAAAAGGAAGGUGAAUAUUGGAAUCCGCUUUCGCUGCACCCUUCAUGUGUAAAACAAGCAAUUGGUUAACAAAGCUGAAUCGUAGGACUUUUUCACAAAGUUUAGCUCUAUGAGGUUCGUUACUUAGCAUCUGGAUAUUGGCUGCAAACGGUGACCCACUGAAGUUUUUAGGACCGCAUGAUUGUGGAUGAUAAGAAAAUUUUUAGUCAGUUAUUGCGAACUUUUUGGUCUAUUUGUUGCUUUCAAUAUAUAGUUUCUUUUUCCUGGACAAUGAAGAGUUCGAUAAAGGCUUCUUGUGGAAUUCUAUAGAAUAAAGAUGAAUGUCCCUGAUUGGGGUAGCUUUUGUGCGAUUUAGGAUCUUGGUUGGUCUAUGGGAGGUGUCUAAGAGUGAUUCUAACUCUCACUGGAAAUGUUUGUGGAGAUUUCAUCUUGGAAUUUGCAGUGAUGUCACCAGCGAUUGCAAUGUAUUUUCUCCUAUACUUUCCAUGCUAUUUUGUUGGCAUUUAAUUUUUACAAAUGGUCAUUUUAUAAAUGAGUCUCCAAAAUGUUGGAGAAUGGCAUGAGAUUGCUAAAUAAUGAGGACAACUUUGGAAAUCGGGAGUUAUAGAGAGCACCAAAGUUCCAAGCCUCAUAGAGGACCAGAAAAUUGGGAUGGAAUGCGUAAUAAAAGCUUUAGUGGAUGAAGCCUAAAAGAAUGAUAAUAACAAUAAGUGUAUAUAUAUAUGGCAUUUGUGCCUAAAAUAUUUUUGAACUAGAUAGCUUUAGAAAUUCUUAUGACAUUAUUCAUCCGUUAUGCAAAGCUCCAUUUGGGGAGGGAGGGAGGAAAGAUACAUUCCGCAACAGGGUGAUGUGCCAAAGGAAUAGCAUAUGGAGUUUUGUGAAGUGAAACUCCUACUUUUGCCGUCUUCUUGAUCUAUUUUCCUUUAUUACUUUUCUACGAUUCAACCUGGUUGUUUUCAGGCCCGUCUGCUAUUAUAAUAAGAUUGGCUAGCCAUUUCAUUGAUUGAACGUUUGUCCAUCUGUAUGAUACUGGAUUUCAUCUAUGCUUUACAUGACAUAUGGAUUGCAUCUAUAUGUCUGUUAUUGACGUUUACUCUGGCUUGCUGGUUUUAUCCUAAUUCCUGCUUGUAGAAACCAGCCACAGAUGGCAAAUUUAAGCAGUGCACCUAUGAAGAGCUGCCCCGCUAAACUGAGUUUGAGGUCUAAGAGAGAAAUUGAGUAGAUCAUAGCUGACCGCACCAUGUGCUAGCCCAUACACGAUACACCCACUGCAUGAGUGGAAUACUACUUGGUCAAAUCGAAGGGCCAACCUGAGAGCAAGGCAAGCUCGGAACAGGCUGAAACUUACAAUUCAAGAACAAGGUCAUGGUCGAAAUGUUUCUAAAGCUAAACAAGGAGGAGAUGGAAGAACUCGCAGUCGUACUUUGGAAACUGUGAAGAAGAAAUGAGUUUGUCUUUAAAAAUACUCUCACUCACCCAAACUCUUUGUUGCAGAGUGCAUAUUAGUUGCUGCAAGAGUUUAGAGAAACUCAACAUGGAAACCAAUCAGCCAGCAACUACUAACAAUCGGGUGGAACCGUGGAAGAAUGGGAAGCUCCUCCAAGAUAUUUUUUUAAAAUCAAUUGGGAUGCUGGUGUGGAUAGGGUACACUGCAAGGUAAGUAUUGGGACUGUUCGAGAUUGGGAGGGCAAGGUUUUGGCCACAAGGAGGAAGAAGCAAGACUGAUUCCCAGACCCCCUAGUAGCAGAAACUUAUGCAGCUCUUCAAGCAGCAAUUUUUGGUAGUGAACUGGGUUUGAGAAGAAUAAUAUUAGAGGGAGAUGCAUGCAAAGUUGUGAAGGCUGUCCAAGGUUCUGUGGAAUAUUUCAAUUGUUUUGGAAUGCUAUUAUCAGACAUCAGAUUCCAGCUGCAAAGUUUUGAACACUGGUCAAUCAGACACAUCCAGGAGCCAAUAUAGUUCCUCACACUCUAGGCAAGAAUGAAUUAGGCAUUACAGAUUUUAUUGUUGACAUGGAGGAAACUCCCGAGUGUAUUCAAUCUGUGUUACAUAGUUUUUAAUCAAUGAAACUUGCAUGAUUUAAAAAAAAAAAUGUUGGUUCCUCUGGCUGCUAUAUUUUGAUA